rnacentral:rRNA from 1 species
GACGAACGCUGGCGGCGUGCUUAACACAUGCAAGUCGAACGGACAGGCCCUGCUCUUGUGGCGUUCUCGAGUGCCGAACGCGUGUGUAACACGCGAGUAACCUGUCCUUAUCUUUCUGGUAUAUUUACGAAACAGCGUCUCCUAUAGCAUAUCAUCUCCUGAUCCGUGGUGUUGGAUAGAACGUUUCUGCGGUUGGGGAUGGACUCGCGGCUUACCAGCUUGAUGGUGGGGUAGUGGCUUACCAAGGCUUUGACGGGUAGCCGGCCUGAGAGGGUGACCGGCCACAUUGGGACUGAGAUACGGCCCAGACUCCUACGGGAGGCAGCAGUGGGGAAUAUUGCACAAUGGGCGGAAGCCUGAUGCAGCAACGCCGCGUGCGGGAUGACGGCCUUCGGGUUGUAAACCGCUUUCGCCUGUGACGAAGCGUGAGUGACGGUAAUGGGUAAAGAAGCACCGGCUAACUACGUG